CAGAGCCUGCUCGUUGUUCCUUUUUCCUAUGCAUAUACUUCUUUGAGGAUCUGGCCUAAAGAGGUAUAGGGCAUGGGAAAAUGGGGCGACGAGGUCCUCCCCCAGC
ensembl:miRNA